CUACGGGCGGCUGCAGUGGGGAAUAUUGCACAAUGGGCGAAAGCCUGAUGCAGCAACGCCGCGUGAGUGAUGAAGGCCUUCGGGUCGUAAAACUCUGUCCUCAAGGAAGAUAAUGACGGUACUUGAGGAGGAAGCCCCGGCUAACUACGUGCCAGCAGCCGCGGUAAUACGUAGGGGGCUAGCGUUAUCCGGAUUUACUGGGCGUAAAGGGUGCGUAGGUGGUUUCUUAAGUCAGGAGUGAAAGGCUACGGCUUAACCAUAGUAAGCUCUUGAAACUGGGGAACUUGAGUGCAGGAGAGGAAAGUGGAAUUCCUAGUGUAGCGGUGAAAUGCGUAGAUAUUAGGAGGAACACCAGUAGCGAAGGCGGCUUUCUGGACUGUAACUGACACUGAGGCACGAAAGCGUGGGGAGCAAACAGGAUUAGAUACCCGUGUAGUC
rnacentral:rRNA from 1 species